rfam:Pseudogymnoascus pannorum VKM F-3808 contig_2430, whole genome shotgun sequence.
AACCUAGUGCACGGGCUUUAUGUGUAUCAGUGAGGAUUCGUCCGAGAUCACAUUUUUGCUAGUUGAAAACUAUAACUAUGACCGCUCCUUUCGGUCUUCGGACUGGAAGGGAAUCUUUGGAACAUGACUUU